AUUAAAGGAAAUAAGAGCGCACAGUGGAUGCCUAGGCACCAAGAGCUGAUGAAGGACGCAAUUAACGGCGAUACGCUACGGGGAGCUGUAAAUAAGUGUAGAUCCGUGGAUUUCCGAAUGGGGCAACCUACUAUAAGCAGUUAUAGUAUCAAUUGUUAGGUAACUAACUAAUUGAAAGGAACGCAGUGAACUGAAAUAUCUAAGUAACUGUAGGAACAGAAAGUAAUAACGAUUCCGGUAGUAGUGACGAGCGAACCCGGAACAGCCGGAUACUAUUAACUAGUUACCAAAUUUUAAUGAACUCGAAAUAGUUGGAAAGCUAUAUCCUAGAAGGUGAAAAUCCUGUAGAGGUAAGUUAAAAUCUAGAGUAUCCUUAAGUACGGCGAGACACGAGAAAUCUUGUCGGAAGAUAGGAGGACCAUCUCCUAAGGCUAAAUACUCCUUGGUGACCGAUAGUGAACUAGUACCGUGAGGGAAAGGUGAAAAGAACCCCGGAAGGGGAGUGAAAUAGAUCCUGAAACUGUGUGCUUACAAGUAGUCAAAGCUCGUUUAAGAGUGAUGGCGUGCCUUUUGCAGAAUGAACCGGCGAGUUAUGAUAUAGAGCAAGGUUAAGUUUGAAGGAACGUAGCCGGAGCGAAAGCGAGUCUGAAUAGGGCGUUUAGUUGUAUGUCAUAGACCCGAAACUGAAGUGAGCUAGCCAUGAACAGGCUGAAGUGACGUGACCACGUCAUGGAGGGCCGAACCAGGACACGUUGAAAAGUGUUUGGAUGAUUUGUGGCUAGAGGUGAAAUUCCAAUCGAACUCAGAGAUAGCUGGUUCUCCCCGAAAUAGCUUUAGGGCUAGCGUUGGGUAUUUAAUAGUUCUUGAAGGUAGAGCACUAAAUGAGUGCGGGCUCCACCUCGGGGUACCAAUCUCAAUUAAACUCCGAAUGUCAAGAAUCGUAUCCCAGCAGUCAGACGAUGGGUGAUAAGGUCCAUGGUCAAAAGGGAAAGAGCCCAGACCGUCAGCUAAGGUCCCUAAAUUAAUGUUAAGUGGUUAAGGAAGUAAAAACGUUAAAACAAUUAGGAAGUUGGCUUAGAAGCAGCCAUCUUUUAAAGAGUGCGUAAUAGCUCACUAAUCUAAUAUUUUUGCACCGAAAAUGUAACGGGGCUAAACAUUAUACCGAAGCUACGGAUAUGUUUCGGCUAGAAAUAGUUAAGAAAUAUGUGGUAGGGGAAGCGUUCUAACAUCGUAGAAGCUAUAGCGGAAGCAGUAGUGGAGAGGUUAGAAGUGAGAAUGCCGGUGUAAGUAACGAAAAGAUAGAUGAGAAUUCUAUCCGUCGAAAACCCAAGGUUUCCAGGGGCAGGGUCGUCCGCCCUGGGUUAGUCAGGAACUAAGGCGAGGCAGAAAUGCGUAGUCGAUGACCAGCAGGCUAAAAUUCCUGCACUAAAAAAAUCACUGAUGGAGGGACAAAAGAGGACAAGCACGCCCUUUAUUGGAUUAGGGUCGAAAAAUCGAGUUUGAGAAGAUAGGCAAAUCCGUCUUCUUACUUGCCAAAAAAUAAGAUUUGAGGGUAACGUGACUGCGUUCAUAUUUUCUAGAAAAGCUUCUAGGGUUAAUGAUUUUUUUACCUGUACCGUAAACCGACACAGGUGGGAAGGUAGAGUAUACUAAGACGCGCGAGAAAACUCUUGUUAAGGAACUCGGCAAAAUGACUCCGUAACUUCGGGAUAAGGAGAGCUUUUAUAAUAAAAAGUAAAAGCCGCAGAGAAUAGGCCCAAGCGACUGUUUAUCAAAAACACAGGUCUCUGCUAAACCGUAAGGUGAUGUAUAGGGGCUGAUGCCUGCCCGGUGCUGGAAGAUUAAGAGGAGAUGUUCGGGCUUGCCCAAAGCAUUGAAUUGAAGUCCCAGUGAACGGCGGCCGUAACUAUAACGGUCCUAAGGUAGCGAAAUUCCUUGUCGGGUAAAUUCCGACCUGCACGAAAGGCAUAACGAUUUGGGCGCUGUCUCAACAAGAGUCUCGGUGAAAUCAAAUUACCGGUGAAAAUGCCGGUUACCCGCGACAGGACGAAAAGACCCCAUGGAGCUUUACUGUAGCUUAAUAUUGAAAUUGGAAAUCUUAUGUACAGGAUAGGUGGGAGACAGAGAACUUUAGGCGCUAGUUUAAAGGGAGUCACCGGUGGGAUACCACUCUUAAGAUUUUUAGUUUCUAACCUGCAUAAGUGGAUUAUGAGGGACAGUGUUUGGUGGGCAGUUUGACUGGGGCGGUCGCCUCCUAAAAAGUAACGGAGGCGUUCAAAGGUUCCCUCAAAAUGGUCAGA
rnacentral:rRNA from 1 species